GGUGGGUUGGCUCAGUGGUUAGAUCGUAGGUCCGUAACCGAAAGAUCGCGGGAUCGAAUCCCGCUAGAGGCUG
rnacentral:tRNA from 1 species